rnacentral:rRNA from 1 species
GAUGAACGCUGGCGGCGUGCCUAAUACAUGCAAGUCGAGCGAACGGACGAGAAGCUUGCUUCUCUGAUGUUAGCGGCGGACGGGUGAGUAACACGUGGAUAACCUACCUAUAAGACUGGGAUAACUUCGGGAAACCGGAGCUAAUACCGGAUGAUAUUUUGAACCGCAUGGUUCAAAAGUGAAAGACGGUCUUGCUGUCACUUAUAGAUGGAUCCGCGCUGCAUUAGCUAGUUGGUAAGGUAACGGCUUACCAAGGCAACGAUGCAUAGCCGACCUGAGAGGGUGAUCGGCCAAACUGGAACUGAGACACGGUCCAGACUCCUACGGGAGGCAGCAGUAGGGAAUCUUCCGCAAUGGGCGAAAGCCUGACGGAGCAACGCCGCGUGAGUGAUGAAGGUCUUCGGAUCGUAAAACUCUGUUAUUAGGGAAGAACAUAUGUGUAAGUAACUGUGCACAUCUUGACGGUACCUAAUCAGAAAGCCACGGCUAACUACGUG